AUUGAACGCUGGCGGCAUGCCUUACCCAUGCAAGUCGAACGGUAACGGGCCUUCGGGUGCCGACGAGUGGCGAACGGGUGAGUAAUGUAUCGGAACGUACCGUUCCGUGGGGGAUAACGUAGCGAAAGCUGCGCUAAUACCGCAUAUGCUGUGAGCAGGAAAGCAGGGGAUCGCAAGCCCUUGCGUUGAUUGAGCGUCCGAUAUCAGAUUAGCUAGUUGGGGAGGUAAAGGCUCACCAAGGCGACGAUCGGUAGCGGGUCUGAGAGGAUGAUCCGCCACACUGGAACUGAGACACGGUCCAGACUCCUACGGGAGGCAGCAGUGGGGAAUUUUGGACAAUGGGGGCAACCCUGAUCCAGCCAUGCCGCGUGAGUGAAGAAGGCCUUCGGGUUGUAAAGCUCUUUCGGCCGGGAAGAAAUCGUAUCAGCUAAUACCUGGUGCGGAUGACGGUACCGGCAUAAGAAGCACCGGCUAACUACGUGCCAGCCGCCGCCGUAAUAC
rnacentral:rRNA from 1 species